UUCUCUCCUGAGAUUUGAAGGGCUGCUUAAAAUUAUGGAAAGUUUGAGACUAGGCUGUGAGCAUCAAGUUUUUAAGCUGCAAAAAGGAUAAGCAGGAGGGAAAAGACUACAUUUGCUUCGGGAAACUUAAACAUCGUUUCUCAACAUGUUUGCAGAUGGAUCACCUUAUAGGUGUGUGAGAAGGAUUUGCAUUUUAGAGCCCUGAGAAGUGCUUGAGAGUGUUUCACUUCCCUCCUCCCCCUUUGCUUCUUGUCAUUUAACAUUUUGGAAGUUCUUUGGGUAGUUACAUUUUUGUCUCUGUAAUAAUUAUCAAAUUAUAAAUUAUUUUUAUAAGCAAAUGCUCUUGACUGUGGAUAAGCAAUCUUCAUAAAUUAUUUGGUGGGAUACUUAAUUUGAAGUUUCUUCAUUGCUUAUGACAAGAUGUUUCUGCUGCUGUCACAGUUGAUGAUUCAUAGCUCAAGUGAAGUGCUUAGCACUUCAGAAAAGUUGUAACACAGGCAGUCCUACUCAAAGUCUCUCCAUUUAAAAAAAGAAAGAAAAAAAGAAGAAAAGAGAGCUGUGGUGGACUGUGCUGAAAUGGUGUAUGAGGCUGGUCUGCAGGACUGGCUCCAAAACAUGAAGAAGGAGGCAGGGGCCAUUCACUGAUACUGAGUCAGAGAAGCUGAGGUAACAUAGGUUCUUAAAUCCUUUAUUUUCUCCUAAGCACAUGUGUGAACAGUCACGGGAGUUUGAGAGUCUGCUAAUGUUUGUACAUGUGUGGGAACAAGGUGCUCCCUGCAAUCCCAUAUGAUUUAGGGCAUUCUGCUUGACCAGCUGGGCUCAUAGCCCUGGAUUGCAUGUUCUUGCUUCAGCCAUGGGGGUUCUAGGUAGGUGAUUAGAAGAAAAUGGAAAAUUGAGAGGCUUUAGACUGGUUAGAGGAAAAAAGUGCAAGGUGGGGUAUUGAAGUACUGGCACCAUUUGGCUGUGGCUGAUGCUGUGCUCAGUCUACAUGGCUGUGUUGGAGCAAAAAGGAGCCCCUAUUAAAAUUUCACAGAGACAAACCUCAGACCUUUUAGGGGCUGGAGGAAGAGGUAGCUGGCUGCUGAAAUUCUUGCUGUUUUUCCAUUACUGAUGCUUUCCUUGGGAGAAGCUUCAGUGAGGAAGUCUGACAGAUGGCAACAAAAGGAAAGGUACAAACAAGGCACUCCUGCAGUAUAAACGUUGGGCUUUAACUGUUUCACUGAAGUGUUUAAAAUAUGUGUAAGAAUUUGGGCAGAACUACACAGACAUGUUACAGCAGUUAGGUGAAAUUUCAGGAAAAAAGCCGUGACAGUUGUUUUUUCCUCAGCCAAACUGAAUUCCAAGGAUGCCACUGGGAGCAGCUGCACGAACUGAAUAUUGAUGGGCAGCUGGUGCAGGUCCUGCGCCCCCACCAACUUCCUUCAUGUUUCAGGAAAACUCUCCUGAUCUUAUUUCAGCCAUCAUAUUAUAGGAGUGCAUUUGCAGCUGUACAAGUUCAGUGAAAGGAAACAAAAUAAAGAAUGAGCCAGGAGAGUUUAAGGGAGCAAGGUGGAAUCUGGCUGGUUUGGACAGGUGGUGUUCGGGGGCUCUGUAUUGGCAACCAGUCGGGAUUAGGACAAAUUCACUCAUUUCAAAAGAUUAUUCCAGGUUUUGGUAGGGUUUUAGCUCUUUGACUACUCUUGUUCUCAUCGAGGGGGGAAGAGACUGGGGAAUUGAAGGGUUUGUUGUUAGAACUGGAUAAGGUAAAUAUAAGUGGAGGAAAUUUUAGAUAAAUUGAGGAGUUCAUAAUGUGGACUGUUUAUAGGCGUCUGUCUUUUAAAUUGAAAGCAUUGUUGUAGCUGUUGUGUGUUUGGAAGCACUUAAGGUUUGAGUGGACCAUAAAAAUGUGUGCAGAUGUUCUUCCUUCUUGACUCUGAGCAUUCAGGAUAUUCAAACCACUGCAGUGGCUUUCUUCAGAAACUGUUUUAUGAGGGUUUCCACAGUAUUUUAAAACCAAAGCAAGACUGUCAUGCCGAUGUUUAACCUUCACUAGGGACACGGUGUAAAAAAACACUCCAGUGUGUUUGUGUAUGUAUAAAUUGCACCCUUUACACUGUAAAGAGAAAGCCUUUUUAGUCAAAAGCAAAAGUUGGUGAAGUGAAAAGGUGAGCUGCUGUCCCUACACAUCACUGCCAGAUCUCUGAGUGCUGGGUUUCUUACCCUGGCUUUGUGCUGCUGCUGUGCAAAGUGCGACUUUGAGCUGAACUUAUGCUGGUUUUGACUGGGGAUUUUUCUUUGGGAAGUCAUUGAGGAACUAUUGAACAUGAACUCAAUUUAGACCCUCCUAGGACCUUCUUUAUUGCCUGUUGCACAUUUGCCUGAAAUGCUGACAGAGAAACUAAUGCUCUUUUUUAAUAUUAAGGAACAAUAACAGCUUAUUUAACACUGAGUAAGAAAGAGGCUUUAGCAGCAAUGUACUUCAGUGAAAUAACGAAGAUAUUUCUGUGAGCUGCUCUACAUCAAAGGUUUAUGAAGCAGGAUUUCUCUGCCACAAUGUGACCUCUGCAGUGCUUCAAAGUGCUGGUUCUUUGCACAUCAGCCAGCUCAAUGUUUUUACUUUGACUAGUGGUGUUCCUGCUUAAACCACAGAAAAGGACUUUUAUCUAUGCACUUUCUGGGAAAACUUUUCCUUACGCAUAUGGCCUUUGAGAAUCUAAUGCCACAAAUGUUUUUUCAGUUGCCAUAUGAGCAUACUUGGCAGAGAUAGAAGGAACUUGAAUACAAGUGAGCUUCUUAGGGAAGAAAUUCUUUUUUUUUUGGUGAUUUCUGCAAAACUGAAUGCAUGUCCUUUCAGUGGUAUUAAUUUUUGCUCUUUUGGAGUUGUAGCGUGUGAACUUGAGUGGUUUUCAUGUAUUGCUGACGUUUUAGCACUCUUACUCAUCAAGAAGCUCUGUUUCAUUUUGAGCAUGUGAGCUUUAUUUCUGCACACUGUGUCAUGAAAAGUGAGAGUAAUUUAUUGUCUCUGUAAAUGGGAAGUGAGAUGUAGAUGAAAGUUCUCUUGAAACCCAUAACAGCCAGCCUUUUAUCAGUUGAUGCUGACCAAUAUCAGCCAUUUUCCCUACAGGAAAUGAAAAUGUUCCAUCAUUAGGCUGGGACCUAAUCGGGUUUCCUUCACAUUCCUUCCUCAUCUCCCUAUUUCCAUCGUGUGUUC